AGAGUUUGAUCCUGGCUCAGGAUGAACGCUGGCGGCGUGCUUAACACAUGCAAGUCGAACGAAGCAAUUUAGCGGAAGUUUUCGGAUGGAAGUUAAAUUGACUGAGUGGCGGACGGGUGAGUAACGCGUGGGUAACCUGCCUCACACUGGGGGACAACAGUUAGAAAUGACUGCUAAUACCGCAUAAGCGCACAGGACCGCAUGGUCCGGUGUGAAAAACUCCGGUGGUGUGAGAUGGACCCGCGUUUGAUUAGCUGGUUGGUGGGGUAACGGCCUACCAAGGCGACGAUCAAUAGCCGACCUGAGAGGGUGACCGGCCACAUUGGGACUGAGACACGGCCCAAACUCCUACGGGAGGCAGCAGUGGGGAAUAUUGCACAAUGGGGGAAACCCUGAUGCAGCGACGCCGCGUGAGUGAAGAAGUAUUUCGGUAUGUAAAGCUCUAUCAGCAGGGAAGAAAAUGACGGUACCUGACUAAGAAGCCCCGGCUAACUACGUGCCAGCAGCCGCGGUAAUACGUAGGGGGCAAGCGUUAUCCGGAUUUACUGGGUGUAAAGGGAGCGUAGACGGUAAAGCAAGUCUGAAGUGAAAGCCCGGGGCUCAACCCCGGGACUGCUUUGGAAACUGUUUAACUAGAGUGCUGGAGAGGUAAGCGGAAUUCCUAGUGUAGCGGUGAAGUGCGUAGAUAUUAGGAGGAACACCAGUGGCGAAGGCGGCUUACUGGACAGUAACUGACGUUGAGGCUCGAAAGCGUGGGGAGCAAACAGGAUUAGAUACCCUGGUAGUCCACGCCGUAAACGAUGAAUACUAGGUGUUGGGGGACAAAGUCCUUCGGUGCCGUCGCAAACGCAAUAAGUAAUCCACCUGGGGAGUACGACCGCAAGGUUGAAACUCAAAGGAAUUGACGGGGGCCCGCACAAGCAGAGGAGUAUGUGGUUUAAUUCGACGCAACGCGAAGAACCUUACCAAGUCUUGACAUCCCUUGACAGGCAUAGAAAUAUGUUUUCUCUUCGGAGCAGGGAGACAGGUGGUGCAUGGUUGUCGUCAGCUCGUGUCGUGAGAUGUUGGGUUAAGUCCCGCAACGAGCGCAACCCUUAUGGUCAGUUACUACGCAAGAGGACUCUGGCCAGACUGCCGUUGACAAAACGGAGGAAGGUGGGGAUGACGUCAAAUCAUCAUGCCCUUUAUGACUUGGGCUACACACGUACUACAAUGGCGUUAAACAAAGAGAAGCGAGACCGCGAGGUGGAGCAAAACUCAGAAACAACGUCCCAGUUCGGACUGCAGGCUGCAACUCGCCUGCACGAAGUCGGAAUUGCUAGUAAUCGUGGAUCAGCAUGCCACGGUGAAUACGUUCCCGGGCCUUGUACACACCGCCCGUCACACCAUGAGAGCCGGGGGGACCCGAAGUCGGUAGUCUAACCGCAAGGAGGACGCCGCCGAAGGUAAAACUGGUGAUUGGGGUGAAGUCGUAACAAGGUA
rnacentral:rRNA from 1 species